CUCACGUGUUCAUAGUUAUCGUUUUGUUUUAUUGGUUCUCAAUCAAAUUUACUUCUCUCAGACCAUGUAGAGUAUCAUCAUAUCAAGAUGUGUAAUUCAAGCAAUGCACCACUCUUCUCUUCAUCAGAGGCGAAGGUAGCUGUAAACUAACCCUGGUGCACUACUACAACAACAACAACAACAACAAUAACAUAGCCUUUUUUCCCAAGUAAGUUGGGGUAAGCUAGAGA